CCCUCUGCUCUGGAGCCAGGCUGGGAGAGCUGGGGGUGCUCACCUGGAGAGGAGAAGCUCCAGGGAGAGCUCAGAGCUCUUGAGGAGAAGCUCCAGGGAGAGCUCAGAGUG
rnacentral:miRNA from 12 species